AUGGAGGCCACCUCCUGCAGGUUUCUGCGGUAUCGCUGCUCGUCCAGGUCCGGCAGGAAGAAGACAGAGAUGAUCCUCUCUGUGAUGUAGCGGCUGGUUCACGAAGAGGCUGCCAGCACAGAUUUGGCCGUCACAGAUGAUGGGCUAGCUGUCAGGCUCUACACCAGAAUGGAAAUGGAGAACCUGAAAGGGCCGAUUAUGAAGCCGUUGCUGUGAAUGUUCAUGCCACCUCCACCUCCUGCAGCAGAAAGCCGUCUUAAAACACCUCUGAAGCCACCCUGUGAUAUGUGGUGCCUGAUAUUAGAAGCAGAUCCUUAAAUUUCUGCAAGCUGCAAGUCGGAGACUGGUUCCAGCACAUUCCUCAACACCCUGCCUUCGUUUUUUGGACGGCACUCAUCACUGCUGAACGCCUCACAAGCCUGAACAUUUUGCAGAUGCUCCCAAAUCAUGAUCAUUUAUGUGCUGUUCCAUUACUGUCAGUCAGUUUGCUUUCAUUUUAUUGAUAGGGAAUGAUUUAUCAUUCACCAAAUCAUAAGAGGGACAUUACAUUCGAUUUAUUUUUCAACUCCAAAUAGAUUUGUCAAGUAAGAAAAUCUACUUUCUUAUUCUACUACGUCAUCACAAAUAAUAUUUUUCUCAUUUCAUGGCACACACACUCAUAAUCUCUGUGAUACACAAACUGGAGAU